UUGGUGACUCUCACAGCAAACUAAAUUUGUUGGGCCAAACAGAUGAAAAAUAAGUGUUGCCAUACACAAAAAUUUGCUGGAAAAUACAGUAUUGCCAUACCGAUGUGGUAGAUGUUGCAGUUAUACACAAAAAAUGUUUAUUCCAGAAGAAAACGCGCUGAGUAUAUGUACUGCUAAUUCGAUAUAAAGAUAUUUAAUAUCCGCGCGAAUAUAAAAGUGAUUAAAAAAUGUCUAUCUCCUGGAGCCGAGCGUUAACGGAAGAAUUAAUAAAUCUUCUACAGGCCCGAGAGUGUCUUUGGAACACAAAGCAUUGCCAUUAUAGUGACAGGGAUAAGCGAAAUGCGGCAAUAAAUGAAAUUCACGACGUUUUGGUGACGAAAGAUCCCCUUGUGACCCCAAAAAACAUUAGGCAAAAAAUUCAAGGACUGCGCUCACAAUUUCGGAGAGAAGUGAGGGCAAUUGAAGCAAGUAAACGGAGUGGAUGCGGUGCAGCAGAUGUGAAAACACCCAAAAUGUGGUGUUACGAGCUGCUCCAGUUUCUACGUCCAAACGUAGAAAUAAGGGAGACGCAGGAUAGUUUAAACGAUGAAAACAGGCCACAAACGAUAAGAUUUUGUGACAUAAAGUUUUCUAAGAGUAAUUUGUAAUUUUUCCAAUAGAGAUACGAUACGGACAAUAAUAUAAACACGGAUAACGCCUCGUUGAGGGACGAACCGUCGGUUUCAUCAUCUUGCAGAAAACGAAAUAAGGCUCAUUUACAACAAAAGGUGCAACAGGGAUUGAAAGAGUUGACAAAUAUAAUGGUGACAAACACAAAAAGGAAAUAUGAGUGGGUUGGCGAGGAGGUGGUCAGCAUACUGGAUGGUAUGAAAAGUGAGGACGUUGCUCUGGAAACCAUUGAUGCCAUCCAUUCCCUGCUAUCUUCCGCCAGAAAAAAAGACAAGGAAGUAACAA